rnacentral:misc_RNA from 1 species
UUUCCGUAGGUGAACCUGCGGAAGGAUCAUUAUUGAAUAACCCUGAUGUGGUUGUAGCUGGCCCUUUCGGGAGCAUGUGCACACCCGUCGUCUUUAUCUUUCCACCUGUGCACCUUUUGUAGACCUGGAUGUAACACUUUCCGAGGCAACUCGGUCGGGAGGAAUGCUGUCAACUUUCCUUGAAUGUCCAGGCCUAUGUUUUCAUAUACCCCAAAGAAUGUAACAGAAUGUAUUAUUGGGCCUUGUGCCUAUAAACUAUAUACAACUUUCAGCAACGGAUCUCUUGGCUCUC